rnacentral:lncRNA from 10 species
AUACCCUGCUAAUUUUAUCUUUUAAAUCUUGCGUUUCUCCUCUCCAGUUUUCUUCUGCCACUGUUGUCUUGGCUGAGGCCUUAUCCUCUCUCCUGUGAAUAAUUGGAGUAGCUUCCUAACUGGUCUCCCUGCCCCAGGCCUGUUUUCCUCCUAUCCUUAGCAGCCAGAGGGAGCUUUCUAAAGGGCAGAUCUGACUAUCUCACUCUCCUUAAGCAUUCUAGGGACUCCCUUGAUUUAUAGGAUUGAGUCCAGCCUCCAUCAAAAGGGACAGAAGACCUCUCUAUGUUCUGAUUCCUGCUUAUGUCUCCAUAUUUUAUCUCCAUUUUAUAUUCUAGGAAACAAGAGUUUGUAGAUACCUGUAAAUCUCUGUUUUGAUGUAAGUCAUUCCUCUGCCUGCAGUGUCCUUUUCCAAUUUAUUUUAUGUGGCUAAUGCCUGCUCAUUUCUCAUAGCGCAGCCCAUUUACUGCCUUCUCCAGGAAGCUUUUCUGAAUCCUCCAGUGAGUAAGGGAGAGCCCACUGCUAAAAAAGGCCUAGUCAAAUCCUCAGGUGUACAUGGACAUCAAGAUUGGGAACAAGCCGGCUGGCUGCAUCCAAACCCUCCUGCGUUCCGACGUCGUGCCCAUGACCACAGAGAAUUUUCUCUACAUGUGCACCCAUUUAAAGGACUCGGCUUCAAGGGAAGCAGCUUCCACCGCAUUAUCCCCCAGUUCAUUUGCCAGGGCAGUGAUUUCACAAACCACGGUGGCACCAGGGGUCUGCGCAGGCAUGGCACUAAGUGUCCCAUGGCACAUUUGGCCCUCAUGGAGGCCUCAAAAGGGCAGGACCAGCACCCUCUUCUACGGAGGAAGGAACGGGCACAGCAGGUACAUGAUGUGGUCAAAUUAACAAGAGGCAGAGGCCGGGUAAGUGGCUCACGCCUGUAAUCCUAGCACUUUGGGAGGCUGAGGCAGGAGGAUUGCUUGAGCUCAGGAGUUCAAGACUGGCCUGGGCAAAGUUUAAGACCGGCCUGGGCAACAUAGUGAGACCUGGUUUCUAUAAAAAAUUUAAAAAUU